AUGGACCCCAACACCAUUAUUGAGGCCCUGCAGGGCACCAUGGACCCAGCCCUGCGAGAGACCUUGGAGCGCCAGCUCAAUGAAACACACAAGUCUCUGAAUUUUGUCUCACCGCUACUCCAGAUUACUGUUGGAACAACUGGAUUAACCUGUGAGACAGGCAGGUGUUACGUAUUUGAAAAAUAUAACACAGUAUUGGCUUGGUCGAGAAACAGCACAAGGGUAUAUAUCCCCUUAUACUAUUCCAGAAGAAGAUUGCCAUUGUAUUUGAGAAAAUAUUGUAGAAACCAUUAUCCAUUCUCCUGAGCUCAUCAGGGUACAGCUUACUACAUGCAUUCAUCACAUCAUCAAACAUGAUUAUCCAAGCUGCUGGACAGCCAUUGUGGACAAAAUUGGCUUUUAUCUUCAGUACGAUAACAGUGCUUGUUGGCUAGGAAUUCUUCUUUGCCUUUAUCAGCUUGGAAAAAUUAUGAGUAUAAAAAACUAGAGGAGUGGAGUCCAUUAGUAGCAGCAAUGCAGUUUUCUGCCAGUUCUAAAGGAUCAUUUUAUCCAGCUUCUUUCUGACCAGUCUGAUCAGUCUGUCAUCAUCCAGAAACAAAUAUUCAAGAUCUUCUAUGCUCUUAUUCAGCAUAUACUGCCACUGGAACUGACAAACCAACAGAACCUGACAGAAUGGAUAGAAAUUUUGAAGACUGAAACACUUCGAAUUGAAGAAGAUGAUCGACCUGAGUUACCAUAGUGAAAAUGCAAGAAGUGGGCCUUACAUAUUUUAGCAAGACUUUUUGAAAGAUAUGAAAGCCCUGGCAAUGUUUCCUAGGAGUAUAGUAAGUUGGCUGAAGUAUUUCUGAAGGCAUUUGUUGUUGGUGUCCAGCAAGUUUUAUUAAAGGUGUUAUAACAAUACAAGGAAAAGCAAUAUAUGGUUCCUCAAGUUUUACAACAGAUAUUAAAUUCUAUUAAUCAAGGAGUUUCUCAUGCUCUCACCUGGAAGAAUCUGAAACCCCAUAUACAAGGCAUUAUCCAAGAUGUUAUUUUUCCACUGAUGUGUUAUACAGAUGCUGAUGAGGAACUUUGGGAAGAAGACCCUUACGAAUAUAUACGCAUGAAGUUUGAUGUGUUUGAAGAUUUCAUUUCUUUUACCACUGCUGCCCAGAAGCUUUUGUUUACAGCCUGUAGUAAGAGGAAACAGGUACUUCAAAAGACUCUGGGAUUUUGUUACCAGAUUCUUACAGAACCAAAUGCUGACCUUUGAAAAACAGAUGGAGCCCUGCAUAUGAUUGGGUCUUGAGCUGAAAUAAUUCUGAAGAAGAAGAUCUAUAAAGAUCAGAUGGAAUACAUGUUGCAGAAUCAUGUAUUCUUUCUCUUCAGCAGUGAACUAGGCUAUGAGAGCAAGGGCUUGCUGGGUGCUUCACUAUUUUUGUGAAGUAAAGUUCAAAAGUGAUCAGAACCUUCAGACAGCUUUAGAGCUAACAAGAAGAUGUCUGAUUGAUGAUAGAGACAUGCCUGUGAAAGUGGAAGCUGCCAUUGUCUUUCAAGUAUUGAUCAGCAAUCAAGAAAAAUUUAAAGAAUAUAUCACACCAUUCAUCAGACGUGUAAUGCAGGCUCUUCUUCAUAUUAUAAGAGAAACAGAAAAUGAUGACCUUACCAAUGUAAUUCGGAAAAUGAUCUGUGAAAAUAGCGAAGAAGUUACUCUUGUUGCAGUAGAAGUGACACAAUAGUUGGCAAUGACAUUUAGCCAAGUAAUCCAGAUCGGGCCUGAUAAAGAAGGUAGUGAUGACAAAGCAGUUACUGCUAUGGGAAUUCUGAAUAUAGCUGACACACUUCUUAGUUGUAGUUGAAGAUCAUAAAGAGAUAACCCAACAGCUUGAGGGAAUCUGCUUACAGGUCAUUGGUACUGUUUUACAACAGCAUGUCUCAGAAUCCUAUGAGGAGAUAUUCUCUUUAGCGUGUAGCCUGACAUGUCAACAAAUGUCUCCACAAAUGUGGCAGCUACCACCCCUUGUAUUUGAAGUCUUUCAGCAAGAUGGCCUUGAUUACUUUACAGAUAUGGUGCCGCUCCUUUAUAAUUAUGUAACAGUUCUUAGCAAGACACUUCUGUCUGAUACCAAGUAUCUUGAAAUGAUAUACAGUAUGUGCAAAAAGGUUCUUACAGGAGUUGCAGGAGAAGAUGCAGAGUGUCAUGCGGCAAAAUUGUUAGAGGUCAUCAUUCUGCAGUGCAAAGGGCGUAACAUUGACCAGUGCAUUCCCUUAUUCGUGCAAGCAGCCUUAGAAAGACUGACGAGAGGUUAAGACAAGUGAACUUUGAACUAUAUGUCUGCAAGUUGCAAUUGCAGCUUUGCAUUAUAAUGCAUACCUAUUACUCAAUACCUUAGAAAAUCUUCACUUCCCUAAUAAUGUUGAACCAGUUACAAAUAAUUUUAUGAGACAGUGGCUUAAUGAUGUUGACUGUUUCUUGAGGCUUCAUGACAGAAAUAUGUGUGGUCUUAGUCUCUGUGCUCUUAUUGAUAUGGAACAGACACUCCAAGGUUUGAAUCAGGUUUCUGGACAGAUUUUGCCAGCUUUUAUCCUUUUAUUGAAUGGAUUGAAAAGAGCAUAUGCCUGCCAUGCUCUUUUGUCCAAAAAUGACAGUGAUAAUGAUGAAGCUGAAUAUGAUGAUGAAACCGAGGAACUGGGGAGUGAUGAAGAUGAUAUUGAUAAAGACGAGAAAGAACAUUUGGAGAUUCUGGCUAAGCAGGCAGGUGAAGAUGGAGAUGAUGAAAAUUGGGAAGAAGAUGAUGCUGAAGAAACUUCUCAGGAAGGCUAUUCCACAGUCAUUGAUGACGAAGAUAACCCUGUUGUUGAGUAUCAGAUAUUUAAAGCUAUCUUUCAGACUAUUCAAAAUCAUAAUCCUGUGUGGUAUCAGUCUCUGACUCAUGGUCUUAAUGAAGAACAAAGAAAAUAGUUACAGACAUAGCAACUCUGGCUGAUCAAAGAAGAGCAGCCCAUGAAUCCAAAAUGAUUGAGACGCACAGAGGAUACAAAUUCAGUGCUUCAGUUGUGCCAAAUUCUUUCAAUUUUGGAGGCCCAGCACCAGGGAUGAAUUGAUUUAUCUCUUUCUUUCCUGCUGUGUGAUUGUAGUGAA